rnacentral:rRNA from 1 species
UACGUAGGGUGCAAGCGUUGUCCGGAAUUAUUGGGCGUAAAGGGCUCGUAGGCGGUCCAUCGCGUCGGGAGUGAAAAGCUGGGGCUCAACCCCAGUCCUGCUUUCGAUACGGGUGGACUAGAGGUAUGCAGGGGAGAACGGAAUUCCUGGUGUAGCGGUGAAAUGCGCAGAUAUCAGGAGGAACACCGAUGGCGAAGGCAGGUCUCUGGGCCGAUACUGACGCUGAGGAGCGAAAGCGUGGGGAGCGAACAGG